rnacentral:rRNA from 1 species
ACGCCUACGGGGGGCAGCAGUGAGGAAUAUUGGUCAAUGGGCGUAAGCCUGAACCAGCCAAGUCGCGUGAGGGAUGAAGGUUCUAUGGAUCGUAAACCUCUUUUAUAAGGGAAUAAAGUGUGGGACGUGUCCUAUUUUGUAUGUACCUUAUGAAUAAGGAUCGGCUAACUCCGUGCCAGCAGCCGCGGUAAUACGGAGGAUCCGGGAGUUAUCCGGAUUUAUUGGGUCUAAAGGGUGCGUAGGCGGCCUUUUAAGUCAGCGGUGAAAGUCUGUGGCCCAACCAUAGCAUUGCCGUUGAAACUGGG